CCUACGGGUGGCAGCAGUCGAGAAUUUUUCACAAUGGGGGAAACCCUGAUGGAGCGACGCCGCGUGGGGGAUGAAUGGCUUCGGCCCGUAAACCCCUGUCAUUUGGGAACAAGGGUUGCAUCCUAACACGAUGCAGCUUGAUAGUACUGGAAGAGGAAGGGACGGCUAACUCUGUGCCAGCAGCCGCGGUAAUACAGAGGUCCCGAGCGUUGUUCGGAUUCACUGGGCGUAAAGGGUGCGUAGGUGGUGGGGUAAGUUUGAGGUGAAAGCUCCGGGCUCAACCCGGAAAUUGCCUUGAAUACUAUCCCGCUAGAGGAUCGGAGGGGAGACUGGAAUUCUCGGUGUAGCAGUGAAAUGCGUAGAUAUCGAGAGGAACACCAGUGGCGAAGGCGAGUCUCUGGACGAUACCUGACACUGAGGCACGAAAGCCAGGGGAGCAAACGGGAUUAGAUACCCCAGUAGUC
rnacentral:rRNA from 1 species